GCAUUGCCCGUGCUCCUCAGCUGUAUUUUGUAAUCAGAAUCAAAUAAAUUACUUUUAAAGAAAAAAUAAAAAUCAGGGCAUUGCCUGGGCACAGUGGCUCACACCUGUAAUCCCAGCAUUUUGGGAGGCCCAGGCGGGAGAUCACUUGAGCUCAGGAGUUUGAGACCAGCCUGGGCAACAUAGUGAGCCCUUGUUUCCACUUUUUGUAGCUUUUUUUUUUUUUAAGAAAAAGAGAAAAAAUGAUAAUUUUUUUAAAAAAACAGGGCAAGAAACUAGACAAGGGGAAAACUUAUAAACCAUCAGUUAAAUGCCCACUGGAGCUGCUAUUUUAAAGAAGCACAUGCCAGAGUGAGGAAACAGUUCCUUCCCCACUUCACCUCCUUGACCACAUUCGCUCGUGCAAUUUGUAGGGUGGUUACUCGUCACGGACACCUACCAGGCACCAAGAGGACCUCAAACGCUGGAGCUCCCACAGUCGUCAAGGAAAAACUUGACCAAAGGAAGCCACCCACACUGAUAAUUGCCAGCCUGGGAGAAAUGACUGUAGAAGGCACAUCCAGGCCCCACUCCCAGACCCAGUGCCCAGGCUCCAAGCAUCUCUCCAUACUGGAACAGCACGGCAGCUCCAAAUCUGGAACUCAUACCCCGAUCUGUAACCGUACCUCAGACCUACAUCUUCAACUGAUUUCAGCCCAACUGUGAGGCUAAUUCUGCUUUCUUUCUUUGGAUAGAGGCUUAAAAAUAAAUAUAAAGAAGAUGAUGGACACGAACGUACAUUAAUACUCUUGUAAUACCUUUAAGGAGUAACUACUUUAAUAGCUUUAGGUAAUAACUACUGCAAACACUGGGAUGAUUUGGGUUUUAUCUGCUUUUAGUUGAGGUAAAAUUCACGUAACAAAAUUAACCACUAAUGACUUUAAAGUAUAGAAUUUUAAAAUCUGCUUUUUAAAGUGUUGGAAAAGUGUAAAAGCAUGUGACAUUAAACUUGUGAUAUUAGUUUAGUAUUUAGGUAGAUUAAGUUUGGUGGUUAAAUGCUUAAAUAAAUCUAAUUGG
rnacentral:lncRNA from 1 species